UAGAAAUGUGAACUUUGCAAGCUACUGGUAGAAACGUGACCUUUGCAAGCUACUGGUAGAAACGUGAACUUUGCAAGCUACCGGUAGAAAUGUGAACAUAGUGGUAAGUAGACCUAAUGUACUUUUUUUCUCAAACUAAUGUGGGCCUACCUAGCGACUUUAGCUAACAUUAUUCUUUCAUUAUCGUGAUUGUGUUUAAGCACAAUUGCUGCUGAUAGACAUGGUAGACAGGAUAGGCUACAUAGAUUGAUGGACCACGUCAGACAAAACAGACAAUAUCAACAGAGGUAAACAGACAAAAUCAACAGACGUAAACAGACUACAUCAACAGAGGUAAACAGACAAACUCAACAGAGGUAAACAGACUAAAUCAACGGAGGUAAACAGACUAAAUCAACAGAGGUAAACAGACUAAAUCAACAGAGGUAAACAGACAAACUCAACAGAGGUAAACAGACUAAAUCAACGGAGGUAAACAGACUAAAUCAACAGAGGUAAACAGACUAAAUCAACAGAGGUAAACAGACUAAAUCAACAGAGGUAAACAGACUAAAUCAACAGAGGUAAACAGACAAGGGAAAGAUAUCCCUCUGUGAUGCAUGAUAAUACUAAUCAACAGAGGUAACAGAAUCAUGACAAUAUCCAUCAUUUUAUUUCCAUUCCUUCCUGCUGCAACACAGCCAAUCAGAUGCCAACGCCUCCUCCGGCUAACUUCCUCCACUGAUGUCUUAAUAUGAUUGACUGUCCUGAUAAACUUCUCUACAUCUGGAAAAAGAUCCUGUAUGUCAAUCUUCUUACCAAAUGAAUCCUCCUAAAGAAACUUGUCAACAUGCUGUUAUCUGUACAGUGAACCUGAAUGUGACUCACCGUGAGAUGUUACAUCCGUCAACUUGUCAAUCUGUUCCAACAUUCCUCUGUCCUCA
ensembl:lncRNA